ACCAGAGGCCUGAAAGGCCUCCGGAUCACACUCAGCCAACCAGCAGAGACGAUCCGUGACUGUACUGCCCACAAGGCGGACUGACGAGGUUGCGACUGGAACGAGUCGUCCUGAGGGACGGGGAAGCGAUUAACGCAUCAGCUUGAAGAUGUCAGCCAGCCCACGUAGCAGCCACGCGCCGCAACGUAUAGGAAUGCCACGACCAUUCC
rnacentral:ncRNA from 1 species